AAAACUGUCAUCGGGGUCCUUCCAUCAAGUUCCUGAGGUCCUGUCCCAAGAACAGACCUGGGGAGCUCCCUCUACUCUCCCUUCCCAUGGGCAGCCCUUCUUGGUUGCACUGCAGCCUUCCUGCCAGGAUCCUUGUGGCACUGCCGAGGUGGGCACGCUCUCAGACUGUGCAGAUGCAGGACUGGAUCUGCGCAGAACCUGUGUCCACCAAGCCUUUGGCAUCACUGCUGGGAAGAAAACAUCCAAGAAAAGUAGCAGCAAAGGCAUCCGCAUCCUUGGCAGAAUUCUACUCGAUAAGGCAGAGAACAAGCAUGAUAAACAAUUAGUUUCAGACAAAUCCCCCAAGCCCACCAUUUUUCUUCCUUCUGCUACUGAAACAAAUCUCCAUAAGACUGGGACAUACCUUUGUCUCCUGGAAAACUUCUUCCCUGAUGUUAUAAAGGUAUACUGGAAAGAAAAAAAUGGAGAUAAUGUCCUGGAUUCCCAGGAAGGAGACACACUGAAGACUGGUGACACAUACAUGAAAUUUAGCUGGCUUACCGUGACUGAAAAGUCAAUGCAUAAAGAGCACAGAUGUAUUGUCAAACAUGAGUACAACCAAAGAGGAGUUGAGCAGGAGAUUUUCUUUCCUCCAAUAAAGAAAGUUGCCGUGAGUACCAGCCCUACAACUUGCUGGCAAGAUAAAAAUGAUGCACUGCAGCUUCAGUUCACAAGCACCUCUGCCUAUUACACCUACUUCCUCCUGCUCCUCAAGAGUGCGGUCUAUCUGGGCAUCAUCACCUUUUCUCUGCUCAGAAGAACCGCCGUCUGUGGCAACAAGAAGAGGUCUUAAGGAAACGAGUAGUGGUGCAACAGUUGGGCUUCCUUGCUAGCUUUGACUUCUGUAACGUCACGUGGUAUAUCAUACUGUCUUUGCAGGAAAGUUUUCAUACUUUUACAAGCAAUUUAAGCAACUCCAGAAUAACUGAGCACACCUUCCUCCUGAUUCCGUCCUCUCCACUAGUCCCUUCUCCCAGGAGCCUGAAGCAUCGCAGCUCUAGAACACAUAGCCUGCAUCGUUUACCCAUGGCUUUGUUACUCUGGAGCCAGCUACCUCCCUGAAAACCUCCACUCUAGACAAUCUGAAUAGCUUCCUUUUUUAAUUGAAUUUUGUGUCUUGUAUUCCAGAUUAGAGACAAUAAAUUUUUACAAAAUCAGAA